rnacentral:tRNA from 1 species
GGGGAAGUAGCUCAACCGGGAUAGAGCGGCGGACUCAUAAUCCGCAGGCUGCAGGUUCAAGUCCUGCCUUCCCAA